GCGCAGGCGGCUUGGUCGGUCUGAAGUGAAAGCCCGGGGCUCAACCCCGGAAUAGCUUUGGAUACUGCCAAACUUGAGUGCGUGAGAGGAGAGUGGAAUUCCUGGUGUAGCGGUGAAAUGCGUAGAUAUCAGGAGGAACACCAAUGGCGAAAGCAGCUCUCUGGCACGUUACUGACGCUGAGGCCCGGAAGCGUGGGGAGCGAACA
rnacentral:rRNA from 1 species